AUUGAACGCUGGCGGCAGGCUUAACACAUGCAAGUCGAGCGGAAGAAGGGAGCUUGCUUCUGGAUUCAGCGGCGGACGGGGGAGUAAUGCCUAGGAAUCUGCCUGGCUGUGGUGGAUAACGACCGGAGACGGGCGGUAAUACCGCCUACGUGCUGAGGGAGAAGGUGGGGGGUGUUCGGACCUCACGCUAUGAGAGGAGCGUAGGUCGGAUUAGCUAGUUGGUGGGGUAAAGGCCUACCAAGGCGACGAUCCGUAAGUGGUCGGAUAGGCUGAUAGGUCACAUGGGAACUGAGACACCGUCCAGACUACUGAGGGAGGCAGCAGUGGGGAAUAUUAGGCAAUGGGCGAAAGCCUGGUACAGCCGAGCCGAGUGUGUGAAGAAGGUCUUCGGAUUGUAAAGCCCGUUUAGUUGGGAGGAAGCGCAGUCGGUUAAUACCUUGCUGUUUUGACGGUACCAACUAAAUAAGCACCGGCUAACUUCGUG
rnacentral:rRNA from 1 species